UACGUAGGUGACAAGCGUUGUCCGGAUUUACUGGGCGUAAAGAGCGCGCAGGCGGUCGAUCAAGUCGAGUGUGAAAGCCCCCGGCUCAACUGGGGAGGGUCAUUCGAUACUGAUCGACUCGAAGGCAGGAGAGGGUAGUGGAAUUUCCGGUGUAGUGGUGAAAUGCGUAGAUAUCGGGAGGAACACCAGUGGCGAAGGCGACUACCUGGCCUGUUCUUGACGCUGAGGCGCGAAAGCUAGGGGAGCAAACGGGG
rnacentral:rRNA from 1 species